rnacentral:rRNA from 1 species
AAAGAGCGUGUAGGCGGGUAGUUAAGUCAGAAGUGAAAUCCAAUAGCUCAACUAUUGAACUGCUUUUGAAACUGAUUACCUAGAAUAUGGGAGAGGUAGAUGGAAUUUCUGGUGUAGGGGUAAAAUCCGUAGAGAUCAGAAGGAAUACCGAUUGCGAAGGCGAUCUACUGGAACAUUAUUGACGCUGAGACGCGAAAGCGUGGGGAGCAAACAGGAUUAGAUACCCUGGUAGUCCACGCCCUAAACGAUGUACACUAGUUGUUGUGAGGCUCGACCUUGCAGUAAUGCAGUUAACACAUUAAGUGUACCGCCUGGGGAGUACGGUCGCAAGAUUAAAACUCAAAGGAAUAGACGGGGACCCGCACAAGCGGUGGAGCAUGUGGUUUAAUUCGACGAUACACGAAGAACCUUACCUGGACUUGACAUAGUAAGAACUUUCUAGAGAUAGAUUGGUGUCUGCUUGCAGAAACUUAUAUACAGGUGCUGCACGGCUGUCGUCAGCUCGUGUCGUGAGAUGUUGGGUUAAGUCCCGCAACGAGCGCGACCCUCGUCAUUAGUUGCUAACAGUUCGGCUGAGAACUCUAAUGAGACUGCCUACGCAAGUAGGAGGAAGGUGAGGACGACGUCAAGUCAUCAUGGCCCUUACGUCCAGGGCUACACACGUGCUACAAUGGGGUAUACAAAGAGCCGCAAUACGGUGACGUGGAGCAAAUCUCAAAAAUAUCUCCCAGUUCGGAUUGUAGUCUGCAACUCGACUACAUGAAGUUGGAAUCGCUAGUAAUCGUAGAUCAGCUAUGCUAC